GCAUUCUUAGCUCAGUCGGUAGAGGAUCAAGCUUUUGAUCGGUAGGUCGUGGGUUCGAGUCCCACAAAAGGCG
rnacentral:tRNA from 1 species